GACCUGAAGGCUGAAAUUGACAAGUUGGCCACUGAGUAUAUGAGUAGCGCCCGCAGCCUGAGCUCCGAGGAAAAAUUGGCCCUUCUCAAACAGAUCCAGGAAGCCUAUGGCAAGUGCAAGGAAUUUGGUGACGACAAGGUGCAGCUUGCCAUGCAGACCUAUGAGAUGGUGGACAAACACAUUCGGCGGCUGGACACAGACCUGGCCCGUUUUGAGGCUGAUCUCAAGGAGAAACAGAUUGAGUCAAGUGACUAUGACAGCUCUUCCAGCAAAGGCAAAAAGAAAGGCCGGACUCAGAAGGAGAAGAAAGCUGCUCGUGCUCGUUCCAAAGGGAAAAACUCGGAUGAAGAAGCCCCCAAGACUGCCCAGAAGAAGUUAAAGCUCGUGCGCACGUGAGUGUAUCAGGGAGCCCUUUGCCGGAUGACAUCCUCUUCUCUCCCAGUGCCCCAUCCCAGCCUGCACCGCCCCCUGCCACUUUCUAUAUCUCUGCGCCAAGAACUCUUCUUAUCAUUUUGGUAUCUGCUGGAGAAGCCACAAAUCAUUUGCCCUACCAGGAUCUCCUGCCACCUCUGAAAGCCUCAGGCUUUAGCUUCCCUUCCUGCAGAUGACACUUUCUCUUCCUCUUGGCAUGCAGAAGUCCUGAGUAUGGGAUGCCCUCAGUGACCUUUGGCAGUGUCCACCCCUCUGAUGUGUUGGAUAUGCCUGUGGAUCCCAACGAACCCACCUAUUGCCUUUGUCACCAGGUCUCCUAUGGAGAGAUGAUUGGCUGUGACAACCCUGAUUGUUCCAUUGAGUGGUUCCAUUUUGCCUGUGUGGGGCUGACAACCAAGCCUCGGGGGAAAUGGUUUUGCCCACGCUGCUCCCAAGAACGGAAGAAGAAAUAGAUAAGGGCCUUGGAUUCCAACACAGUUUCUUCCACAUCCCCUGACUUGGGCUAGUGGGCAGAGGAAUGCCUGUGCUGGGGCCAGGGGUUCAGGGAGGAGUGGAUGGCACAGUGCUGUCAUCCCUUCUCCUCCCCUCUCCCCACUCCCGGUGCUGAGGCUGCAUCAAACCCUGGUAGGGAGGGGUGCCGCAGCCACUAACGGUAUGUGCUCUCCUUCAGCCCUCUCCCUUCGGAGGGACGUGGUCUUGCCCACUGUCCUUUUGCCUCCAUGCUGAGGUUGGUGCUGUAUUUCAGAGGGAGGGUCCUUUUCAUUCCCCUUGCUUUGUAUUUAAGGACUGGGGCAUAGCAUGGGGGCAGUCCCCCAGACCUCUU
rnacentral:sRNA from 1 species